rnacentral:rRNA from 1 species
GUAGUCCCGACCUUAAACGGUGCACACUCGAGGUGGGGGGAUUUCACCCCUCCCGUCUCUUAGUCAACACGUUAAGUGUGCCGCCUGGGGAGUACGGCCGCAAGGCUAAAACUCAAAGAAAUUGACGGGGGCCCGCACAAGCAGAGGAGCAUGUGGCUUAAUUCGAUGCAACGCGAAGAACCUUACCUGGGUUUGACAUGCAGCUGCAAGGGGUAUGAAAGUAUCCCGCCUUCGAGGGUGCUGCACAGGUGCUGCAUGGCUGUCGUCAGUUCGUGCCGUGAGGUGUUUGGUUAAGUCCACCAACGAACGCAACCCCUUGUCCGUGUUGCCAGCGGGUAACGCCGGGAACU